rnacentral:rRNA from 1 species
UACAGGGGGUGCAAGCGUUGCUCGGAAUCACUGGGCGUAAAGCGAACGCAGGCGGACCUGUAAGUCAGGGGUGAAAGCCCGAGGCUCAACCUCGGAACUGCCUUUGAAACUGCCGGUCUUGAGUACGGGAGAGGUGAGUGGAAUUCCUGGUGUAGAGGUGAAAUGCGUAGAUAUCAGGAGGAACACCGGUGGCGAAAGCGGCUCACUGGCCCGAUACUGACGCUCAUGUUCGAAAGCGUGGGGGGCAAACAGG